rnacentral:tRNA from 4 species
GGGCUCGUAGCUCAGUUGGUAGAGCACUUGCAUGGCAUGCAAGGGGUCGCAGGUUCAAAUCCUGUCGAGUCCACUA